UCGGACGGGUGAGUAACGCGUGAGAAUCUAGCUUCAGGUUCGGGACAACAGUUGGAAACGACUGCUAAUACCGGAUGUGCCUACGGGUGAAAGGCUUGCUGCCUGAAGAAGAGCUUGCGUCCGAUUAGCUAGUUGGUGAGGUAAAGGCUUACCAAGGCAUCGAUCGGUAGCUGGUCUGAGAGGAUGACCAGCCACACUGGGACUGAGACAAGGCCCAGACUCCUACGGGAGGCAGCAGUGGGGAAUUUUCCGCAAUGGGCGAAAGCCUGACGGAGCAAUACCGCGUGAGGGAAGAAGGCUCUUGGGUUGUAAACCUCUUUUCUCAGGGAAUAAAAAAAUGAAGGUACCUGAGGAAUAAGCAUCGGCUAACUCCGUGCCAGCAGCCGCGGUAAUACGGAGGAUGCAAGCGUUAUCCGGAAUGAUUGGGCGUAAAGCGUCCGCAGGUGGUACAACAAGUCUAGUGUCAAAGACCGGGGCUCAACCCCGGAAAGGCGGUGGAAACUGUUGAACUAGAGGGUCGUAGGGGUAGAGGGAAUUCCCAGUGUAGCGGUGAAAUGCGUAGAGAUUGGGAAGAACAUCGGUGGCGAAGGCGCUCUACUG
rnacentral:rRNA from 1 species